UAUUUUUAUUUUUGAAUUUAUAUAAAGUAUAUGUGUGUGUGUGUGGAGCUGAGACAGGCUCGGCAGCGGCACAGACUGAGGGAAGACGAGAAAGACAGAGUGGGAGAGAGAGAGGCAGAGAGGGACAGAGGGAGAGUGACAGCAGCGCUCGGUAAGUGUUUCCUUAUUGGUUCAAAUAUGUAACUAAUGGUCCGUAGCUGGAUGGCGGUUUCAAGAUAAGGACAGCAGCGGCUUGUCUUGGUUAGGGAGAAGAGGGGGCUGGCGAGAGGGUGGGCGCGUAGUUAAUUAUGGGGAGGAAAAUUGGCGGGGGGAGAGAAACGGGGUUAAACUGGAAUACCGGUAACUGGUAGUGGGGCGAUUGUGUUGUCCUGAUGUCACUGUGUGCCAAGUUGGGGGUGGGGAGGCAAGGGAACAGCACCUGUGGGGCUCAAGCCGGCGGUCUAGGGCGCCAGCUCUCUGCUGCCCACUGUGUCAGUACCUGCUUAUUAUAGAUCUUCGGUCUCUUUAAUAAUUGGUGCUAAUGGCUUGUUGUAUAGUCUUAACCCGACGCAUAUGGUUUCAUAACACAGUGGCUUAAUUUCUUCCAAAUGUACGUGGCCCUGAAUGUGUUGCAGUUUGAUAUAUGACCCCGCCCUGCUCCCCGGCCUGGGUCCGAGGCUCCGAGGCGGCCCCAUAAGUGUGAAUUUCUGUUUAUAAACGGCGACGCACACGCAAACUUGGGCACCAGCCCCCAAAAAGCCAGAAAUGAUUUUUUCCAGAUGCAGCUGGAAGGGGGCUCAGGGCUGAGCGUGAUGGGGUAGAGAUGUUUGGGACCUAUUUUACGUCUUAACCUUAAGUCAGAGAAGUGAAUUGAGAAGCCAAACAAAUGCCAAUGUGAGAGUUUGUAUCUGCUGAUGGUAGCAGCAAUAAGUGAAGUGCUGGUAAGGAAAGGUCAGGCAGAAAUCUGGAAAGAGAGAGGGAGGAGAGGAAAUGUGACAUGAGUUAGCAGAGCCCCUCCAUAUACCUUUCUUCUCCAUUUAAUUGUAAUAAAGCAAAAGCAGCUCGGGUAGCCUCUCAACCUCUUAGAUCAAAAGAGGAAUCACCAGCGCAGGCCUUGGAGGUGUUUGGGGGCAGUUCUCAGCAGCUUAACAUGCCCCAUCUGCCCUCUUCCUCCUUUCCCCCUCCCUGCUGAUCCCCAGCUCCCUUCAACUGGUCACCCCGGGCCCUGUCCCCAAAAUAUUAGCACCCCCAAAUGAUAUCCAUUUCUGUGUUAGGUGUGUCAAAUUUCACUUCUCUCCAUGCCUAAACUUUGAAAGGAGGAGUGUACCUUUUUGGAAUGCGGUGUGUGUAGGGGGGUCAGGUAUGUGCUCAGACAGCUUCCCCCAUCAUAUCUAUGGGAAACUGGAAGCCCCUUAGGUGAGCCAUGCUUUGGUGUUCCCAAACAGCAUUCCCUGCAUUCAGGUUCUCUGGCAGACCAGGAGGCUCUUUGCGAUCUGAUCCUUUGACUAGGAGUUCCAUGGAGAUCAAAGGAGCUUAUUUAUACACAAAACACCAGGCAUUUGGAGUAGAAUUUAUUU
rnacentral:lncRNA from 1 species